rnacentral:rRNA from 1 species
CGGUCCAGACUCCUACGGGAGGCAGCAGUCGGGAAUAUUGCGCAAUGGAGGAAACUCUGACGCAGUGACGCCGCGUGCAGGAAGAAGGUUUUCGGAUUGUAAACUGCUUUAGACAGGGAAGAAAAAGGACAGUACCUGUAGAAUAAGCUCCAGCUAACUACGUGCCAGCAGCCGCGGUA